AACGAACGCUGGCGGCAGGCCUAACACAUGCAAGUCGAACGCAUCCUUCGGGGUGAGUGGCGCACGGGUGAGUAACACGUGGGAAUGUGCCCUUUGGUUCGGAAUAACGUCUGGAAACGGACGCUAAUACCGAAUGUCCCCUGUGGGGGAAAGAUUUAUCGCCAAAGGAGCAGCCCGCGUCUGAUUAGGUAGUUGGUGGGGUAACGGCCUACCAAGCCGACGAUCAGUAGCUGGUCUGAGAGGAUGAUCAGCCACACUGGGACUGAGACACGGCCGAGACUCCGACGGGGGGCGGCAGUGGGGAAUCUUGGACAAUGGGCGCAAGCCUGAUCCAGCCAUGCCGCGUGAGUGAUGAAGGCCUUCGGGUUGUAAAGCUCUUUCGCACGUGACGAUGAUGACGGUAACGUGAGAAGAAGCCCCGGCUAACUUCGUGCCAGCCGCCGCAGUAA
rnacentral:rRNA from 1 species